GACAGAGGGGGCAGGCGUUGCUCGGAAUUACUGGGCGUAAAGGGCGCGUAGGCGGGAUGGCAAGUCGGUCGUGAAAGCCUUCGGCUCAACCGAAGAACGUCGGCCGAUACUGCCGUUCUUGAGGGAUGCAGAGGAGACUGGAAUUCCCGAUGUAGCGGUGAAAUGUGUAGAGAUCGGGAGGAACACCGGUGGCGAAGGCGGGUCUCUGGGCAUCUCCUGACGCUGAGGCGCGAAAGCGUGGGGAGCAAACGGG
rnacentral:rRNA from 1 species